rnacentral:rRNA from 1 species
UGAAAGAGUUUUCGGACAAUGGAUGUAGAGGAAAGUGGCGGACGGGUGAGUAACGCGUGAGGAACCUGCCUUGAAGAGGGGGACAACAGUUGGAAACGACUGCUAAUACCGCAUGACGCAUAGAGGUCGCAUGAUCUUUAUGCCAAAGAUUUAUCGCUUCAAGAUGGCCUCGCGUCUGAUUAGCUAGUUGGCGGGGUAACGGCCCACCAAGGCGACGAUCAGUAGCCGGACUGAGAGGUUGAACGGCCACAUUGGGACUGAGAUACGGCCCAGACUCCUACGGGAGGCAGCAGUGGGGAAUAUUGGGCAAUGGGCGCAAGCCUGACCCAGCAACGCCGCGUGAAGGAAGAAGGCUUUCGGGUUGUAAACUUCUUUUAAGAGGGAAGAGCAGAAGACGGUACCUCUAGAAUAAGCCACGGCUAACUACGUGCCAGCAGCCGCGGUAAUACGUAGGUGGCAAGCGUUGUCCGGAUUUACUGGGUGUAAAGGGCGUGCAGCCGGGUCUGCAAGUCAGAUGUGAAAUCCAUGGGCUCAACCCAUGAACUGCAUUUGAAACUGUAGAUCUUGAGUGUCGGAGGGGCAAUCGGAAUUCCUAGUGUAGCGGUGAAAUGCGUAGAUAUUAGGAGGAACACCAGUGGCGAAGGCGGAUUGCUGGACGAUAACUGACGGUGAGGCGCGAAAGUGUGGGGAGCAAACAGGAUUAGAUACCCUGGUAGUCCACACUGUAAACGAUGAAUACUAGGUGUGCGGGGACUGACCCCCUGCGUGCC